rnacentral:rRNA from 1 species
AUACGGAGGGGGCAAGCGUUACUCGGAAUCACUGGGCGUAAAGCGCGCGCAGGCGGUCUUUUAAGUUGGAUGAGAAAGCCUACAGCUCAACUGUAGAACUGCAUCCAAAACUAUUAGACUAGAGUCUGGGAGGGGAAGAUGGAAUUAGUUGUGUAGGGGUAAAAUCCGUAGAGAUAACUAGGAAUACCAAAAGCGAAGGCGAUCUUCUGGAACAGUACUGACGCUGAGGCGCGAAAGCGUGGGGAGCAAACAGGAUUAGAUACCCGAGUAGUCC